AAUCACACCAGUGUGAUUAGACCUUUCAGUGUGUUACAUGAUCAGACACUAAACUGAAAUCUUCUUUCCCAUGAUGUCUCGCACUGAACCAGAGAAAGACAUAUGCAGUGCUUGUCAGAAGUCACAAUUUAUCAGUGUUUUCAAACUAAUAUUAUUUGGGUUCAGACAUUUCAAUACACAUAUAAUAAAUUGCACAAAGAUCAUGUUUAUGGUUUGUAAAAUAUAUGCUGAUGUCUAUAGAGAUGACAAAAAUAAUUAUUUUAGACAUAACAAGACGUUCAGAAUGAACUGCCUGCCCAUCACCCAUCAUAGAUAAAAUAAUAAUACUAUCAUUAAUAAACCAUUUAAAGGACCAUACACAUGUUCCUACACAUAUCUGACAAUCAUAGUAUCAGAUAUUUCACAACAUAAUUAGGACAUUUGUCAAUAUUUGGAGCAUAGGUGAAAAGAAACUAAAUAUGAUAAAUGCAUAGAUAAUUGAGGCUUUAUUGUAACAUCAAAAAGAAGAUAUGUCAACAGGGGUCUCAAACUCAAUUUACCUGGGGGCCGCAGGAGGCAAAGUCUGGGUGAGGCUGGGCCGCAUAAGGUAUUUCACAAAAAAAAA
rnacentral:lncRNA from 1 species